CUGUUGUUGGACACUAAGAUUCUUCUAUAUCUCUACUUUGUCAUUCAUAGCUUUUGCUUCAUCCUUAGGCUCCUUCUUAUGGUCAUAAUACAGCUGUUUGCACAUCAUUAUCCAGGAGAGAAGAUUCACUUCCAUAUCCCCAAGCCCCAUGAGAGGCCUAUGCAUCUUGAACCAACUACUGGAUUUCGUUGUAGCUUUUGUGGCACCCUUGCACUGCACCCUCCGGCAUGCCUUCAGCACCAGGAGUUCAGAAGAGGAGUUGGAGGGCUCAGCAGACAGCGGUCACCGAUACCCUAGGACAGCUUCAGAAAUUGAUGGCUUACUGUGGGAACAGCUGAAUCCUCUCUCAAGCCGUAGUCCUGGUGCACAUGAGAACAGAUGACAUAUUAAACUGUUUCCAUUCUAUGGGGUUUAAGUCACUAAUGUGUUAGAUGGUCAAGUAUAAGAAUUAUGAUGUCAGACUUUCACAGGUCUCUCUAAGGACCUUGUUAGAAGUCAUUUGUUUUCACAAUGUCUGUAGAUGCUUUAUAAGGACAAUUACUACCAGAUAAACAAUACAAAGGGUCAUUGGACCUUUGGUCAUUUGGACACUGGGAAAAAGCUCUAGAAUCCAAAUAGAAGAUGUGCUCAAUUCUGGACUGCAUCUUACUGUAUGAACUUAGGCCAAUGGAUUGACUUCUCUGGGCCUCAGUUUCUCAAUUUGUAAAAUGGAGCAAAUCACAAUGGAACAAAGUUAUGGGGAUUAUAGGAGAUAUAAAUUUUUUUGCAAGUAUAAGACUGUUGACAUAAGGUGAUAGAGAGUGUGCUAUGGGCUGAAUUAUGCCCUCUCAAAAUUCAUAUUUUGAAGCCCUAACCCCCAAGGUGACUGUAUUUGGUGGUAGUGCUUUUAGGAAGUAAUUAAGGGCAAAUAACAUAAAGUGGGGUCCUAAUCUGAUGGUAUUUGUGUCCUUAUCUUUCUUUUUCUGUGCACAAAUACCGGGGGAAGGCAUAUGAUGCUAUAGUGAGAUGGUGGUAACCUGUGAGCCAAGAAGAUCACUCUCAUCAAACCCAACCAUGCUAAUAUCCUGAUCUCCGACUUCCAGCUUCCAGAAAAGUGAGAAAACAAAUUGCUGUUGUUUAAGACAUAAAGUCUUUCGAUGGACACCAAGGCUUCUUCCACAGUUUGGCUAUUGUGGACAUUGCUGCUAUAUACAUCGGGAUGCAGGUGUCCCGGCGUUUCAUUGCAUCUGCAUCUUUGGUGUAAAUCCCCAGCAGUACAAUUGCUGGGUCGUAGGGCAGGUCUAUUUUUAACUCUUUGAGGAACCUCCACACAGUUUUCCAGAGUGGCUGCACCAGUUCACAUUCCCACCAACAGUGCAAGAGGGUUCCCUUUUCUCCGCAUC
rnacentral:lncRNA from 12 species